rnacentral:rRNA from 1 species
GAUGAACGCUGGCGGCGUGCCUAAUACAUGCAAGUCGAGCGAACAGACGAGGAGCUUGCUCCUCUGACGUUAGCGGCGGACGGGUGAGUAACACGUGGAUAACCUACCUAUAAGACUGGGAUAACUUCGGGAAACCGGAGCUAAUACCGGAUAAUAUAUUGAACCGCAUGGUUCAAUAGUGAAAGACGGUUUUGCUGUCACUUAUAGAUGGAUCCGCGCCGCAUUAGCUAGUUGGUAAGGUAACGGCUUACCAAGGCGACGAUGCGUAGCCGGCCUGAGAGGGUGAUCGGCCACACUGGAACUGAGACACGGUCCAGACUCCUACGGGAGGCAGCAGUAGGGAAUCUUCCGCAAUGGGCGAAAGCCUGACGGAGCAACGCCGCGUGAGUGAUGAAGGUCUUCGGAUCGUAAAACUCUGUUAUUAGGGAAGAACAAAUGUGUAAGUAACUAUGCACGUCUUGACGGUACCUAAUCAGAAAGCCACGGCUAACUACGUG